GUGGUGAGUGGCGAACGGGUGAGUAACACGUGAGUAACCUGCCCUCAACUUUGGGAUAACGGCUCGAAAGGGCUGCUAAUACCGGAUAUUGAGCUCCUGUCGCAUGGUGGGGGUUUGAAAGAUUUUUUGGUUGGGGAUGGGCUCGCGGCCUAUCAGCUUGAUGGUGGGGUGAUGGCCUACCAUGGCGUCGACGGGUAGCCGGCCUGAGAGGGCGACCGGCCACACUGGGACUGAGAUACGGCCCAGACUCCUACGGGAGGCAGCAGUGGGGAAUAUUGCACAAUGGACGAAAGUCUGAUGCAGCAACGCCGCGUGCGGGAUGACGGCCUUCGGGUUGUAAACCGCUUUCACCAGGGGCGAAUGUGACGGUACCUGGAGAAGAAGCACCGGCUAACUACGUGCCAGCAGCCGCGGUGAUACGUAGGGUGCGAGCGUUGUCCGGAUUUAUUGGGCGUAAAGAGCUCGUAGGUGGUUGUUUGCGUCGGAAGUGAAAACCUAGCGCUUAACGGUGGGCUUGCUUUCGAUACGGGAUGACUUGAGGAAGGUAGGGGAGAACGGAAUUCCUGGUGGAGCGGUGGAAUGCGCAGAUAUCAGGAGGAACACCGGUGGCGAAGGCGGUUCUCUGGACCUUUCCUGACGCUGAGGAGCGAAAGCGUGGGGAGCAAACAGGC
rnacentral:rRNA from 1 species